UGCGUAGGCGGUCUCUCAAGUCUGGCGUGAAAGCCCAGGGCUCAGCCUUGGAAGUGCGCUAGAAACUGAGAGGCUUGAGUGCCGGAGGGGAGAGUGGAAUUCCCGGUGUAGCGGUGAAAUGCGUAGAUAUCGGGAGGAAUACCGGUGGCGAAGGCGACUCUCUGGACGGCAACUGACGCUGAGGCACGAAAGCGUGGGAGCAAACA
rnacentral:rRNA from 1 species